rnacentral:rRNA from 1 species
AUUACUCCUACGGGAGGCAGCAGUGAGGAAUAUUGGUCAAUGGGCGGAAGCCUGAACCAGCCAUGCCGCGUGCAGGAUGACUGCCCUAUGGGUUGUAAACUGCUUUUGUCCGGGAAUAAACCUAAAUACGUGUAUUUAGCUGAAUGUACUGGAAGAAUAAGGAUCGGCUAACUCCGUGCCAGCAGCCGCGGUAAUAGCAGCCGCCCAGCAGCCGCGGUAAUACUCCUACGGGAGGCAGCAGCCGCGGUAAUAAUC